rnacentral:rRNA from 1 species
UACGCAGGGGGCAAGCGUUGUCCGGAUUUAUUGGGCGUAAAGAGCGUGUAGGCGGCCAGAUAGGUCCGUUGUGAAAACUCGAGGCUCAACCUCGAGACGCCGAUGGAAACCAUUUGGCUAGAGUCCGGAAGAGGAGAGUGGAAUUCCUGGUGUAGCGGUGAAAUGCGCAGAUAUCAGGAAGAACACCCGUGGCUAAGGCGGCUCUCUAGUACGGUACUGACGCUGAGACGCGAAAGCGUGGGGAGCGAACAGG